CAGUCGCCGCGGUAAUACAGAGGGUGCGAGCGUUAAUCGGAUUUACUGGGCGUAAAGCGUGCGUAGGCGGCUUCUUAAGUCGGAUGUGAAAUCCCUGAGCUUAACUUAGGAAUUGCAUUCGAUACUGGGAAGCUAGAGUAUGGGAGAGGAUGGUAGAAUUCCAGGUGUAGCGGUGAAAUGCGUAGAGAUCUGCAGGAAUACCGAUGGCGAAGGCAGCCAUCUGGCCUAAUACUGACGCUGAGGUACGAAAGCAUGGGGAGCAAACAGGAUUAGAUACCCGAGUAGUCCCUGUCUCUUAUAC
rnacentral:rRNA from 1 species